rnacentral:misc_RNA from 1 species
AAUUGAUCACCAAUGUUCUCAAGUUGGACGAAUUCGGAUUAGAAAUCAAUAGGCUCGCUUUCCACACCAAUUCCUAAAAGCGAUACAUUCAUAUUAAUCCUCAAACCUUUCAUUAAUGAUUAAAAGUAAAAUCCAAAGAGCAAAAUAUUGCUCACUUAAUUACAGUUUUUUUUUUAAAACAAUAUUUAAUUGCUGUUUCAAUCAUAGUUAAAAGACAUAUUUUACCAUGCCAGGAAUAUGUGUAUUCAAGAAAUAAUCAUCCCAAUCAAUUAACUUAGGAUCCAUUAAAAAGAUAUCUGUCUCUAUCCCAUUCUCUUCUGCAGCUGUUCUUAACUUGUCUAAAUUGAAAUCAUCAAAAAUUCCAUGGAAGAAUAGGUAUGGCUGGUAUAGUUCAACUAGUCGCUUCACAAGUUUAAUUCUUCUACUCAGAUUGCUAUAUGUACCUUGAAAACUUUGGCAGGAUAUUAUGUUUGCUAGUUUUAGUCCCUUUAAUAAUGGGAGGUAGCGAAUCCUUAUAAAUCUUUGAAAGUUGGAGACGCAAUUGAGCAUGGUAGGUUUACUAACAACCUUCACUGGCUUUCCAUUCUGGUUGAUCCAUGGUUUCUUUGUGAAGUGACGAAUGAGGUAAUCUUUGAAACUAGAACAUCUAAUAGGAUUUCUGACUGAUGAUCCCACAUGAUAAAUGACAUCAUCACAAGGUUGAUUUGUAUGAGCCACCAUAGCCACAAUUAUGGCAUUCACCACCAUAUCACCUGGUAUUCGACUUUUAGGAGUCAUGAUUCGGACUGAUUCGAAAUUGUUUAGGAGUCAUGAACGAUCUCAAGCCCAAAUUUCACAGGUUCAGUUCCAAUUUGAGUCUCGUUCCGAGUCGGUCCAUGCCUAGUGUACCUCCAGUUGAGAUUGAGAAGCUUUAAGCUUGCACUGGGAUAUAUUGACCCAUCAUUUGCCACAUCAACGAUUGAUGCAAGAUCAACAACAAAGAACGUCAAUCUUCCCUUACCAUAACUAAGAGUCAAAGCAUCAAAGGGUUCUUGCAUCUUCAACCCAACCAGGGAAAGGUUCCUUGUAAGUACUAGUAAUCAUAGAAGGACGUGUGAUCACCAAAGGAAGAUUUUCUUUUAAGUGUCCUACAAGCAUUUCUCCCAUAGCCUUGGUAAACACAUAAGUGUUUGGCCAUCCAUAUCUCUUUGCUCUUUUGACACCCAUAUCUUUCAUGGCAUGUUUAAUUUCUGUUUCUGUAGCUCUCUCAGCUUUGAGUUCAUCUAAUUUGGUAUCAAUCAAUUUCUUCUCUUCUUCAAUAUCUAGCCCAGAAACACCAUUAAGUGUCUCACCCAAGCAAUAGGGAUUUUCUGGUAUCAGUCCUGAACUUUCUCCACAAACAUAAGCAGUAGAUAUGUGAACAAACAACUUUAGUUUUAGGCAAAGUUUGGCAAAGCACAUAACAUUCUUAGCUCCAAUAGUGUUGGUUCCAAAUGCAAUAUCGUAUCGUUCAUCAAAGCAGGUGGUGGCUGCAAAAUUAGGUACAAUAUCCAAUUCAUUCUCCAUCUCUUCUCUCAAGGAAGAGUCUUUAAUUCCCAAGUCAUCAUAACAGACAUCACCAGAAAUAAUAUUAAUCUUUUUGGAUAUAAUAGCAUCAAAAUUUGCACCCAAGUUUUCCUUCGCAACUCUAAACAAGUCCUUCCUCAUCACCUCAUUGUGAAAGCGAUGACUUGCAGAGGUAGCAUCUGAAGCUCUUAAAAGAAGAUAAAGCUUCUUCACAUUCGGUUGAACCCUUAGUAUCUUUUCUACAAAAACUGAAUUAAUUAUUUAAAGAAACAAAAUUAAUAAAUAUGAAGUCCCUCUUUGAGGAGAGUAUAUAUAUAUAUUCAAUUUUUAGUGGGAAGAAAGAAAAGAAUUUGUACUCUUAGCAAGAAAUCCAGUUACACCAGUGACGAAAAUAGUCUUUUUCUCAAGAAACUGAAGGACGCUUCCGAAUUCCUUUGCAAGAAA